rnacentral:rRNA from 1 species
GUUGAACGCUGGCGGCGUGCCUAAUACAUGCAAGUCGAGCGAACGCACGAGCAGCUUGCUUUUCUGAUGUUAGCGGCGGACGGGUGAGUAAUACGUGGAUAACCUACCUAUAAGACUGGCUCACCUAAAGACACCGGAGCUCAUACCGGAAACUAUUUUGAACAGCAGGGUUCCAAAGUGAAAGACGCUCUUGCAGUCACUUAUAGAUGGUUCCGCGCUGGAUUAGCUAGUUGGUGAGGUAAAGGCUUACCAAGGCGACGAUGCAUAGCAGGUCUGAGAGGGCGAUCAGCCACACUGGGACUGAGACACGGCCCAGACUCCUACGGGAGGCAGCAGUGGGGAAUUUUGGACAAUGGGGGCAAGCCUGAUCCAGCCAUGCCGCGUGAGGGAAGAAGGCCUUCGGGUUGUAAAACGCUGUUAUUAGGGAAGAACAUAUGUGUGAUAAACUGUGCACGGCAUGACGGUACCUAAACAGAAAGCAACGGCUAACUACGUG